CCCUUAGAUGUCCUGGGCCGCACGCGCGCUACACUGAUGCAUGCAACGAGUUUAUAACCUUGGCCUGAAAGGUCUGGGUAAUCUUUUGAACGUGCAUCGUGAUAGGGAUAGAUUAUUGCAAUUGUUAAUCUUGUACGAGGAAUUCCUAGUAAACGCGAGUCAUCAGCUCGCAUUGAUUACGUCCCUGCCCUUUGUACACACCGCCCAUCGCACCUACCGAUUGAAUGGUUCGGUGAAGAUCUCGGACUUCGAUAUUUAUUCUUUAUUGAGUUUAUAUUGUGGGAAGUUAUCUAAACCUCAUCAUUUAGAGGAAGGUGAAGUCGUAACA
rnacentral:rRNA from 1 species